CCUACGGGAGGCAGCAGUGAGGAAUAUUGGUCAAUGGGCGCGAGCCUGAACCAGCCAAGUAGCGUGAAGGAUGACUGCCCUACGGGUUGUAAACUUCUUUUAUAAGGGAAUAAAGUGAAGCACGUGUGCCUUUUUGUAUGUACUUUAUGAAUAAGGAUCGGCUAACUCCGUGCCAGCAGCCGCGGUAAUACGGAGGAUCCGGGCGUUAUCCGGAUUUAUUGGGUUUAAAGGGCUCGUAGAUGGGUUGUUAAGUCAGUUGUGAAAGUUUGCGGCUCAACCGUAAAAUUGCAAUUGAUACUGGCAGCCUUGAGUACAGUAGAGGUAGGCGGAAUUCGUGGUGUAGCGGUGAAAUGCUUAGAUAUCACGAAGAACUCCGAUUGCGAAGGCAGCUUACUAAACUGCAACUGACAUUGAUGCUCGAAAGUGUGGGUAUCAAACAGGAUUAGAUACCCCGGUAGUC
rnacentral:rRNA from 1 species